rnacentral:rRNA from 1 species
GACGAACGCUGGCGGCGUGCUUAACACAUGCAAGCCGAACGGAAAGACCCUGCUUUUGUGGGGUGCUCGAGGGGCGAACGGGUGUGUAACACGUGAGUAACCUGCCCUUGACUUUGGGAUAACUUCAGGUAACUGGGGCUAAUACCGGAUAGGAGCGCCUGCUGCAUGGUGGGGGUGGGAAAGUUUCGGCGGUUGGGGAUGGACUCGCGGCUUAUCAGCUUGUUGGUGGGGUAGUGGCUUACCAAGGCUUUGACGGGUAGCCGGCCUGAGAGGGUGACCGGCCACAUUGGGACUGAGAUACGGCCCAGACUCCUACGGGAGGCAGCAGUGGGGAAUAUUGCACAAUGGGCGGAAGCCUGAUGCAGCAACGCCGCGUGCGGGAUGACGGCCUUCGGGUUGUAAACCGCUUUCGCCUGUGACGAAGCGUGAGUGACGGUAAUGGGUAAAGAAGCACCGGCUAACUACGUG